rnacentral:rRNA from 1 species
UACGUAGGGGGCAAGCGUUGUCCGGAAUCAUUGGGCGUAAAGAGCGUGUAGGCGGCUUGGUAAGUCCGCUGUGAAAGUCCAGGGCUCAACCCUGGAAUGCCGGUGGAAACUGUCAAGCUUGAGUCCGGAAGAGGCGAGUGGAAUUCCUGGUGUAGCGGUGAAAUGCGCAGAUAUCAGGAGGAACACCAAUGGCGAAGGCAGCUCGCUGGGACGGUACUGACGCUGAGACACGAAAGCCAGGGGAGCGAACGGG